CAGAGCCUUUAUCUACCCUACCAUAUUAUACCUUACACAUGAAGAAGCAUGGAAACCAAACUGUUCUGUGCCACCACCUUGUAAUGAUGAAGGAAGAAAUAGGAGGACUAAUCCAAUGCAAAGACGGUCUCAAUGGAUAUCAAACAGGAAAUUCCAGUCCACUAGGAAAUGGUGAAUUUUCUAGCUAAAGAGCAGAGGGUGGAGCCCAUUGGGAAAUCAGUAAUGGAGAACAGACCAGAGGUUUGGGCAGAGGAAGAAUGGAUAGAUACUGAUUAGAAAAUGGAAAUGGCAAGCUGAAACCAGUCAGAAACAAUUAUGGCCUCAGAUAAUGAAGAUGGGAGAAAGUUCUUGCUUGAGGUCAGCAAGUGGUGUGGAGGAAGAGCAAGGAAGACACAGACUUCUCCCAUUUCCCACUGAAUCAAAAUGGAAAGUGGAUGGGAGGAGUUUAGGAGAUGUCUAUCGGACAACUGAGCAGCAGAAUAGAGGGUAUCACUAUUCCUCCAUAAGGUAUCAGAAUUCUCUUGGCGUCAUAGUUUUCUCUUCUAAUCACAUCCACAGCCCCAGGAAUAACAAAAUCCUGAGACAUUUGGUUUCCAACCUUUGUUUUUAGUUGCUUCUUUAACCAUUACCAAGCUGACCUAUCUCUUGCUAUUUCCUGAAUUUCUGACAAUGUCUCCUCUUCCUUGCCAUAGUUAUCUAUGACCUCUUACUUUUGGCAGAGAAAAAUGUCAUUUCUUGGACUAGUUGGCCUUUUG